CACGUAGUUAGCCGGGGCUUAUUCAAAAGGUACCGUCAAGUAAGUAUCAUUUCCUAUACUUACAGUUCUUCCCAAAUAAAAGUGAUUUACAACCCAUAGGGCCUUCAUCUCACACGCGGCAUUGCUCGGUCAGGGUUUCCCCCAUUGCCGAAUAUUCCUAACUGCUGUCUCCCGUAGGAGUCUGGGCCGUGUCUCAGUCCCAGUGUGGCCGUUCAACCUCUCAGUCCGGCUACGCAUCGUUGCCUUGGUAGGCCGUUACCCCACCAACAAGCUAAUACGCCGCAGGCCCAUCUCUAAGCGAAGCUUUAAAGGCUCCUUUAAUAUUACUAUCACAUUCGGUAUUAGCAGUCGUUUCCAACUGUUGUCCCCAACUUAGAGGCAGGUAACCCACGUGUUACUCACCCGUUCGCUACUGAGUGCAAAAUCCACGUCCAUCGUCAAUCCAUUUUUGAGCAAGCUCGCAAACUUCAAUCAAAUUUCAGUGGGGUCACUCCGUUCAACUUGCAUGUCUUAGGCAUGCCGC
rnacentral:rRNA from 1 species